rnacentral:misc_RNA from 1 species
AACGGUCUAUACCUGCGGUACCUGCGGAGGGAUCAUUACCGAGUUAUACAACUCCCAAACCCACUGUGAACCUUACCUCAGUUGCCUCGGCGGGAACGCCCCGGCCGCCUGCCCCCGCGCCGGCGCCGGACCCAGGCGCCCGCCGCAGGGACCCCAAACUCUCUUGCAUUACGCCCAGCGGGCGGAAUUUCUUCUCUGAGUUGCACAAGCAAAAACAAAUGAAUCAAAACUUUUAGCAAU